UACGUAGGGACCAAGCGUUGUUCGGAUUUACUGGGCGUAAAGGGCGCGUAGGCGGCAUGACAAGUCACUUGUGAAAUCUCUGGGCUUAACCGGGGAACUGCAUCUGAUACUGGAUGGCUUGAGUUCGGGAGAGGGAUGUGGAAUUCCAGGUGUAGCGGUGAAAUGCGUAGAUAUCUGGAGGAACACCGGUGGCGAAGGCGGCAUCCUGGACCGACACUGACGCUGAUGAGCGAAAGCCAGGGGAGCAAACGGG
rnacentral:rRNA from 1 species